rnacentral:rRNA from 1 species
UAGACCCGAAACCCGGUGAUCUAGCCAUGGGCAGGUUGAAGGUUGGGUAACACUAACUGGAGGACCGAACCGACUAAUGUUGAAAAAUUAGCGGAUGACCUGUGGCUGGGGGUGAAAGGCCAAUCAAACCGGGAGAUAGCUGGUUCUCCCCGAAAGCUAUUUAGGUAGCGCCUCGUGAAUUCAUCUCCGGGGGUAGAGCACUGUUUCGGCUAGGGGGCCAUCCCGGCUUACCAACCCGAUGCAAACUGCGAAUACCGGAGAAUGUUAUCACGGGAGACACACGGCGGGUGCUAACGUCCGUCGUGAAGAGGGAAACAACCCAGACCGCCAGCUAAGGUCCCAAAGUCAUGGUUAAGUGGGAAACGAUGUGGGAAGGCCCAGACAGCCAGGAUGUUGGCUUAGAAGCAGCCAUCAUUUAAAGAAAGCGUAAUAGCUCACUGGUCGAGUCGGCCUGCGCGGAAGAUGUAACGGGGCUAAACCAUGCACCGAAGCUGCGGCAGCGACGCUUAUGCGUUGUUGGGUAGGGGAGCGUUCUGUAAGCCUGCGAAGGUGGCCUGUGAGGGUUGCUGGAGGUAUCAGAAGUGCGAAUGCUGACAUAAGUAACGAUAAAGCGGGUGAAAAGCCCGCUCGCCGGAAGACCAAGGGUUCCUGUCCAACGUUAAUCGGGGCAGGGUGAGUCGACCCCUAAGGCGAGGCCGAAAGGCGUAGUCGAUGGGAAACGGGUUAAUAUUCCCGUACUUGGUGUUACUGCGAAGGGGGGACGGAGAAGGCUAUGUUGGCCGGGCGACGGUUGUCCCGGUUUAAGCGUGUAGGUGUGUGUUCCAGGUAAAUCCGGUUCACUUUAACACUGAGGCGUGACGACGAGGCACUACGGUGCUGAAGCAACAAAUGCCCUGCUUCCAGGAAAAGCCUCUAAGCAUCAGGUAACAUCAAAUCGUACCCCAAACCGACACAGGUGGUCAGGUAGAGAAUACCAAGGCGCUUGAGAGAACUCGGGUGAAGGAACUAGGCAAAAUGGUGCCGUAACUUCGGGAGAAGGCACGCUGACACGUAGGUGAAGUGAUUUACUCAUGGAGCUGAAGUCAGUCGAAGAUACCAGCUGGCUGCAACUGUUUAUUAAAAACACAGCACUGUGCAAACACGAAAGUGGACGUAUACGGUGUGACGCCUGCCCGGUGCCGGAAGGUUAAUUGAUGGGGUCAGCGCAAGCGAAGCUCCUGAUCGAAGCCCCGGUAAACGGCGGCCGUAACUAUAACGGUCCUAAGGUAGCGAAAUUCCUUGUCGGGUAAGUUCCGACCUGCACGAAUGGCGUAAUGAUGGCCAGGCUGUCUCCACCCGAGACUCAGUGAAAUUGAACUCGCUGUGAAGAUGCAGUGUACCCGCGGCAAGACGGAAAGACCCCGUGAACCUUUACUAUAGCUUGACACUGAACAUUGAGCCUUGAUGUGUAG